GACCGUGUAGCUCAGGUGGUAGAGCGUCGAUCUAGUAAUUCGAAGGUCGCGGACUCGCGGGUUCAAGACCCAGCGCGGCA